AGAGUUUGAUCCUGGCUCAGGAUGAACGCUGGCGGCGUGCUUAACACAUGCAAGUCGAACGGACGCUUUGGGUAACUGGAGCGUUAGUGGCAAACGGGUGAGUAACACGUGGGUGACCUGCCUCGGAGUGGGGAACAACAGACCGAAAGGUUUGCUAAUACCGCAUAAGCUCGGCGAUUCAAUUGGUCGAGUAAAGCCGAAAGGCGCUUUGAGAGGGGCCCGCGUCCCAUCAGGUAGUUGGUGAGGUAAAAGCCCACCAAGCCGAUGACGGGUAGCUGGUCUGAGAGGACGAUCAGCCACAAUGGAACUGAGAUACGGUCCAUACUCCUACGGGAGGCAGCAGUGAGGAAUAUUGCGCAAUGGGGGAAACCCUGACGCAGCGACGCCGCGUGGGCGAUGAAGGCCUUCGGGUUGUAAAGCCCUUUAGCAGGGACGAGUGAGGACGGUACCUGCUGAAUAAGUCUCGGCUAACUACGUGCCAGCAGCCGCGGUAAAACGUAGGAGGCAAGCGUUAUCCGGAUUCACUGGGCGUAAAGCGCGCGUAGGCGGUUGGGUAAGUCGGAUGUGAAAGCCCCUGGCUCAACUGGGGGAGGUCAUUCGAUACUGCUCGGCUUGAGGAUGAGAGAGGAGAGCGGAAUUCCCGGUGUAGCGGUGGAAUGCGUAGAGAUCGGGAGGAACACCAGCGGCGAAAGCGGCUCUCUGGCUCAUAUCUGACGCUGAGGGCGCGACAGCGUGGGGAGCAAACGGGAUUAGAUACCCCGGUAGUCCACGCUAUAAACGAUGAGGGCUGGGUGUUGGUUCCAUUUGGAAUCAGUGCCGAAGCAAACGCGUUAAGCCCUCCGCCUGGGGACUACGAACGCAAGUUUAAAACUCAAAGGAAUUGACGG
rnacentral:rRNA from 1 species